AUUUACUACCUUCAUAGCCAUGGUGUUCCCUGAUGGCAGUGUCCUCUUUCAGCAGGAUAAUGCACUCUGCCACACUACAAAAAAUGCUCAAGAAUGGUUCGAGGAACAUAACAAAGAAUUUACAGUUUUGCCUUGGCCCCCUAAAUUCCCCAGAUCUCAAUCCGAUGUAUCAUCUUUGAAAUGUGCUGGAACAACAAAUCUGAUCCAUGGAGGCCACAACUC